UACAGAGGUCCCAAGCGUUGUUCGGAUUCACUGGGCGUAAAGGGUGCGUAGGUGGUGGGGUAAGUUUGAUGUGAAAGCUCCGGGCUUAACCCGGAAAUGGCAUUGAAUACUAUCUCGCUUGAGGGUUGGAGGGGAGACUGGAAUUCUUGGUGUAGCAGUGAAAUGCGUAGAUAUCAAGAGGAACACCAGUGGCGAAGGCGAGUCUCUGGACAACUCCUGACACUGAGG
rnacentral:rRNA from 1 species